GACGAACGCUGGCGGCGUGCUUAACACAUGCAAGUCGAACGGAAAGGCCCUGCUUUUGUGGGGUGCUCGAGUGGCGAACGGGUGAGUAACACGUGAGUAACCUGCCCUUUACUUUGGGAUAACUUCAGGAAACUGGGGCUAAUACCGGAUAGGAUCUCCUGCUGCAUGGUGGGGGUUGGUAAGUUUCGGCGGUAGGGGAUGGACUCGCUGCUUAUCAGCUUGUUUGUGGGGUAGUGGCUUACCAAGGCUUUGACGGGUAGCCGACCUGAGAGGGUGACCGGCGACAAGGGGACUGAGAGAGGGACCAGAAUGCAACGGGAGGCAACAGAGGGAAAUAUUGCAGAAUGGGGGGAAGCGUGAUGCAGAAACGCAGGGAGCGGAAAGACGGCCUUCGGGUUGUAAACAGCUUUCGACUGAGACGAAGCGUGAGUGACGGUAAUGGGUAAAGAAGCACCGGCUAACUACGUG
rnacentral:rRNA from 1 species